rnacentral:lncRNA from 1 species
AGGUGGGGUAAAAUAUUGUGAUGGUAAUGAGAUAAUGGCAAUUACCUUAGAUGAGAAGGUGAAGGUCAAUGAGAUUAAAGAUUGCAAUAGGUUCACUAGCUGCAGGUUGUCCAUGACCACCAAGGCUUACAGCACUGUGAUGAACAACUUUAGUAUGGGAAGGAUGAAAAACGAGAAUGUAGAAAAAAUGGAGAGGAAGGAGAGAUCGAUCCAGG